AGUGAACGCUGGCGGUAGGCCUAACACAUGCAAGUCGAACGGCAGCACAGUAAGAGCUUGCUCUUACGGGUGGCGAGUGGCGGACGGGUGAGGAAUACAUCGGAAUCUACUUUUUCGUGGGGGAUAACGUAGGGAAACUUACGCUAAUACCGCAUACGACCUACGGGUGAAAGCAGGGGAUCUUCGGACCUUGCGCGAUUGAAUGAGCCGAUGUCGGAUUAGCUAGUUGGCGGGGUAAAGGCCCACCAAGGCGACGAUCCGUAGCUGGUCUGAGAGGAUGAUCAGCCACACUGGAACUGGGACACGGUCCAGAGUCCUACGGGAGGCAGCAGUGGGGAAUAUUGGACAAUGGGCGCAAGCCUGAUCCAGCCAUACCGCGUGGGUGAAGAAGGCAUUCGGGUUGUAAAGCCCUUUUGUUGGGAAAGAAAAGCAGCAGGUUAAUACCCCGCUGUUCUGACGGUACCCAAAGAAUAAGCACCGGCUAACUUCGUG
rnacentral:rRNA from 1 species